rnacentral:rRNA from 1 species
AUGGUCACUGAUUUUGAGACUUUUUGCCUUAACACUCCAAGGGAGAGGAUCGUUCAGGUGCAGAAAUGGGAACCCCCAACAGAUGACACACUGAAGAUUAACACAGAUAGGAGUUUUUUUUCUGAAGAGAGGGCAGGAGGCUGGGGCUUUGUGAUUUGCGACAGGGCUGGGGAAGCUGUUGGCUCAGGGGCGGGCAAGCUCAAUUACUUGCAAGACUCACUUCAGGCGGAAGCGGAGGCAUGCUUACACGCUAUUACGGCUGCGGAGGGAUGGGGCAUGACAAACAUUGUGGUUGAGACGGAUUCUUGUGAACUUGUUCAGGCGGUAACCACACAGCACUACGACCUCUCUCCCAAUGGAGCCCUGUUCUGUGAGAUUAAAGCAUUUGUUAGUCUGAAUUUCUCCUCUUUUAAGUUUGUGCACUGUCCUAGAACCUGUAAUAAGAUUGCUGAUGCAUUAGCGGCUUUUGGUGCGAAGAUGAACACGGACCCCCAAGCCGUAUGCCCGGGUGGAGCCCCUACCUUUGUAUGUGACUUGAUGGCCAGCGAUAUUGUUGCGCCUGCUGGUUAA